CCUCAGGUGAUCCUCCUGCCUUGGCUUCCCAAAGUGCUGGAAUUACAGGCAUGGGCCACUGUGCUCAGCCUCUCACCCUCCAUUUCUUAGCUUCAUCCCGAUACAAAAGAAAGUGCCUCCAAUCUGGGUAGACAGAGGCUGAAGCCUUGAUGGAACCUAUUCCCUGUCCUCUCUCUGCCUGCUUCCUAAGUCUCCUACUUCAAGUCUUUUGCCUACAGUGCAGUAACCAUCCCUGACAGUCCCUAUUACAGGUUGGUCAGCCUCAUCUAUUUGACUGCUUGCGUCAGAAGCCUGGGGUCUGCUGUUCAGAUCUUACCAUUUAUGUUCGAGUGGGAGAAAGGCCAACUCCAUGCACCUCUGCAGAUCAUGGUUUAGUUGCAGCCAACAGAAACAACUCUAGCAAUUUUUAAUCAGGAAGAGAGUUAAGCACUCAUAAAAUCCUGGGAAGGCUGGAGGAGUGGGCUGGGUGUUCCAGAGUGACUUCCAGAACAGUGCCACAGCGUCAGCCCACUUGGGGAGCUGCCGCCACUGCCACAAUCCUGAAGCGGGAAAAUCAGGAAGCAGACAUGGCAAAUGGUACAUCCAGGAAUACAACGGCCCCGCUGUGAUCCAUGGCUGGGGGGAAGGCCACGGCAGCCAUUGCCUCCAGAAGAGUGCUGCAGCUGCCAGGUCCACUUUCGCAGAACACAGACCUCCUACUCCACCAUGAAAUCAGCAACUGGACACUGGGACCUCUGCCACUGUUACUGCAGGAAAACCCAGGGCCCCUGUGAACCAGCCGGUCAACAGCAGCGUUGGACGGACCCAAGUAGAGACUUUUACCUUCAUCACACUUUCUGAAUCUCAUGCAAUUGUUUAUGUUUGGCCAACCUAAAUCCUAUUUGAAUUUUAACUGCAAGAGAUGAUGGGAAAUACCACUUUAAGUUUCUCAGUCUUUCAGUUUGGGAAGGCGCACUAGGGUAAUGGACAUGCUAGGAUAGUGGGGUUUUGGCCUGCAACCAAUAAACAUACAUUUAAA